rnacentral:rRNA from 1 species
UCAGUGUGUGUGUUAGUGGAAGCGUCUGGAAAGGCGCGCGAUACAGGGUGACAGCCCCGUACACAAAAAUGCACAUACUGUGAGCUCGAUGAGUAGGGCGGGACACGUGGUAUCCUGUCUGAAUAUGGGGGGACCAUCCUCCAAGGCUAAAUACUCCUGACUGACCGAUAGUGAACCAGUACCGUGAGGGAAAGGCGAAAAGAACCCCGGCGAGGGGAGUGAAAAAGAACCUGAAACCGUGUACGUACAAGCAGUGGGAGCCUCUUAAUGGGGUGACUGCGUACCUUUUGUAUAAUGGGUCAGCGACUUAUAUUCUGUAGCAAGGUUAACCGAAUAGGGGAGCCGAAGGGAAACCGAGUCUUAACUGGGCGUUAAGUUGCAGGGUAUAGACCCGAAACCCGGUGAUCUAGCCAUGGGCAGGUUGAAGGUUGGGUAACACUAACUGGAGGACCGAACCGACUAAUGUUGAAAAAUUAGCGGAUGACUUGUGGCUGGGGGUGAAAGGCCAAUCAAACCGGGAGAUAGCUGGUUCUCCCCGAAAGCUAUUUAGGUAGCGCCUCGUGAAUUCAUCUCCGGGGGUAGAGCACUGUUUCGGCAAGGGGGUCAUCCCGACUUACCAACCCGAUGCAAACUGCGAAUACCGGAGAAUGUUAUCACGGGAGACACACGGCGGGUGCUAACGUCCGUCGUGAAGAGGGAAACAACCCAGACCGCCAGCUAAGGUCCCAAAGUCAUGGUUAAGUGGGAAACGAUGUGGGAAGGCCCAGACAGCCAGGAUGUUGGCUUAGAAGCAGCCAUCAUUUAAAGAAAGCGUAAUAGCUCACUGGUCGAGUCGGCCUGCGCGGAAGAUGUAACGGGGCUAAACCAUGCACCGAAGCUGCGGCAGCGACGCUGAUGCGUUGUUGGGUAGGGGAGCGUUCUGUAAGCCUGUGAAGGUGGCCUGUGAGGGUUGCUGGAGGUAUCAGAAGUGCGAAUGCUGACAUAAGUAACGAUAAAGCGGGUGAAAAGCCCGCUCGCCGGAAGACCAAGGGUUCCUGUCCAACGUUAAUCGGGGCAGGGUGAGUCGACCCCUAAGGCGAGGCCGAAAGGCGUAGUCGAUGGGAAACAGGUUAAUAUUCCUGUACUUGGUGUUACUGCGAAGGGGGGACGGAGAAGGCUAUGUUGGCCGGGCGACGGUUGUCCCGGUUUAAGCGUGUAGGCUGGUUUUCCAGGCAAAUCCGGAAAAUCAAGGCUGAGGCGUGAUGACGAGGCACUACGGUGCUGAAGCGACAAAUGCCCUGCUUCCAGGAAAAG